UACGAAGGGGGCUAGCGUUGCUCGGAAUUACUGGGCGUAAAGCGCACGUAGGCGGAUCUUUAAGUCAGGGGUGAAAUCCUGGAGCUCAACUCCAGAACUGCCUUUGAUACUGAGGACCUUGAGUUCGGGAGAGGUGAGUGGAACUGCGAGUGUAGAGGUGAAAUUCGUAGAUAUUCGCAAGAACACCAGUGGCGAAGGGCGGCUCACUGGCCCGAUACUGACGCUGAGGUGCGAAAGCGUGGGGAGCAAACAGG
rnacentral:rRNA from 1 species